GAGCAUUCGUUUGGUUAAGUUCGAUGCAAUUUUAUAUAUAAUGUUUUUUUGUGCAUUUCUUGCGAAUAGUUACGUCCUCCAUUAAGACUUAUAGUCCUUGAUUUGAGAACUAGCAGUUCUGUCAUAGCUGUUAUGUCAUUUUGAUUGGUCUUCGAAACACGUUGUAUAGUGAAUAAUAUAUU